GCUUGUCUCAAAGAUUAAGCCAUGCAUGUCUAAGUAUAAACAACUUUAUACUGUGAAACUGCGAAUGGCUCAUUAUAUCAGUUAUAGUUUAUUUGAUGGUCCUUGCUACUUGGAUAACCGUAGUAAUUCUAGAGCUAAUACAUGCAUAAAACCCUAACUUCUGGAAAGGGUGUAUUUAUUAGAUGGAAACCAAUGCGGGGUAACCCGGAAUAUGGUGAUUCAUAAUAACUUUCGGAUCGAUUUAUCGAUGCAUCAUUCAAGUUUCUGCCCUAUCAGCUUUGGAUGGUAGGGUAUUGGCCUACCAUGGCUUUAACGGGUAACGGAGAAUUAGGGUUCGAUUCCGGAGAGGGAGCCUGAGAAACGGCUACCACAUCCAAGGAAGGCAGCAGG
rnacentral:rRNA from 1 species